rnacentral:lncRNA from 1 species
UGUAGGGACCCCUCCUCCUGAGAACACGUGCCACACACCUCAUAUUGACACGUAGCACGCAGACUAUCCGGAUCACCCCAUCUGGAUACACAUGACGCUCCCUCAUAUCCGGCCUGCCUCAAGGAAGGUCAAACGACACUUAUAAACAUAAAACAUCCGGACGGCUUCCACGAUACAUCCGGAUGACCAACGUAGUCCAUCCGGAUAUAAUGGUCCGGAUCAUUGACUGAAGUAAGCAAGUCUCACACGUUAUCACAAUAGCCUGUCAUGGCCCACGUUCCACCACCUGCAGAGUGAAGGGACAAGAUGAAGUGACAACAAGUCACUUCCCACGAUCACUUCACAUGAUCACCUACCACGAUCUCUGUCAGCCGCCUGUAGGGUGAUGGUAGCCCUGCCACCACCUAAUGUCAUCAUAACAACACAAAAUAUCUCCCUGCCAUUAAAGAGGGAAUCAAAGCUUCUGAUACUAUAUAUAUCAACCUUCACACAAAGAGGAAGGUAAGCUUGCAAUACCUAGUAAAAAGCCAACUGAUUAUCUCUCUCUAACCAUGGCUGACAAAACCAUCGGAGGGUGCGUCCGGACACCCUGUCCGGACGUCUUUUGCAGGUAAACCGACUGAAUCAAGAACCUGUAUUGGUUGAGAACUACGCAUCCAUCCAUUUGGAAACUACGUGGAUCGUCAGGGAUGCGAGGUAUCAACAUUGGCGCCGUCUGUGGGGACUUUUUCAUUUUGAUUCAGUUACUAGCAAAGAUGGCCACACCUUCCCGAAGCCGUUCAUCUGGUAGGGGAGAGGAAGAUAAUUUUGAGUGGCGUCAAACCAUCGAAAAAAGGCAGUUGGCAAGCGAACGACAACUAAAAGCUCUCAUCUCAGGAGACAGAAAGAUUGAGAGAAGAAAACGCUGUGUUACGCAUCCAGGCUUCAACAUCAGGACCUCCUCGGCGUUAGCGUUCAAAAGGCUAAGUAGCAAACUCAAGGCCUCAACAAGAACCAGAAUCAAUAUAUCCCGGAACAACAGGAGCUAUCCUAGGAGCAUGCAACGUGAGGCCUCAUGAGCCACACACGCCUAUGCCCCGAGCUCCCCGUGAGGAAAGCUCAGACUCUACUCACUUCUCAGCAAAAAGACAAUGCGAUAGAAGACCUCAGUUGUCAAAUUCAAUGCGCGCAAGACUAGGUCCACAAGAGCCUGGGAGACCAAGGCCACCAGUAGCCACAACCUGGGCACCACACCUUGACCCUAUGGUCACCCCCAUGGUGCAGAACGUGCACCCGCAUCGUGACCCCAUGGUCACCCCCGUGAUGCGGAACGUUCAUUCGCACCCAGCGGUAUAGCAAGCUGGGGGAAACUUCCCUAACGAGCCACCCAUUGGUUCCAUCAGCAAAAGGCUAGAUGACAUGCUCUCUACGCCUUUUUGCUCUCACAUCAUUCAUUACGAGCCCCCAAGAGGAUUCCUCGUACCAAAAUUUUCCACAUACGACGGGACCAGCGAUCCCUUCGAUCAUAUCAUGCAUUAUCGACAGCUCAUGACGCUUGAUAUUGGCAACGACGCACUGCUGUGCAAAGUAUUUCCCGCAAGCCUACAAGGGCAGGCCCUAUCAUGGUUUCAUCGCCUACCUCCCAACUCUGUUGGCAAUUUCAGGGAUCUGUCCGAAGCUUUCGUCGGACAAUACCUAUGCUUCGCUCAACACAAACAGAACAUCAGCACUCUGCAGAACAUAAAAAUGCAGGACAACUAAUCCUUAAGGGAAUUCGUGAAGCGGUUUGACCAAGCCGUACUUCAAGUAGAGGCUUGCAACAUGGAUGCUGUCCUACAGAUCUUCAAGCGAAACAUCUGUCCAGGCACUCCAUUUUUCGAAUCACUAGCCAAAAAGCCUCCUACAACGAUGGACGACUUGUUCAGACGAGCCAACAAAUAUUCAAUUCUCGAAGAUGACGUACGUGCAGCCACCCAGCAAGUUUUGGUUGCCGGACGGCCAUCUAGAGGUGAAGCGGAAAGAAAUGCUAAACCUCCGGACCGGCCAAGGCCGUCUGACCGAAGGCUUAUCUGACUUCAGGUGGCCAAGACCCCAAGGAACAGACCCAUCCACAAGGGAUCAUAGCAAGAGAUGUGCCUUCCACAAGGAACACGGUCACACGACAGAAACAUAUAGGAGCCUCCAGUAUCUAGUUGAGAAGUUCAUCAAGGCAGGACAUCUAAAGCAAUAUCUCCGCUCAGAUACUGAAGGAAAAGUCACUUCCCAACAUCACAAUCCUGGAGCCCCCAGGGCCCCAGCCGCCCCUAAGGCCAUUAUAAACUAUAUUAACGGAUGUCCAUCUGACGAGCAGUAUGAUUCUAGGCGAAAAAGGCAAAAAUUAUUGCGGGCCGCAUCAAUACGCGAACGCAUCAAUUCCAUUCGGCCUGGACUAACUGGAGGGGGCCCUCGCCCUAUAGAUGGGACAAUCAUUUUCGCACCAGUGGAUCCCACCCGAACAUUGCAGCCACAUCGCGACGCUCUCAUCCUGUCUCUAGAAAUAGGAGACUUCGAUGUGAGACGUAUCCUGGUUGACCCAAGCAGCUCGGCCGAUCUUGUGCAAGCAUCGGUCGUUGCCCACAUGGGACACAGUCUCGCGGGCCUUGAAAACCUUGGACGAAUCCUAUCCGGGUUCAACGGAUCGUCAACCACAUCCUUGGGAGACAUCAUACUGCCGGUCCAAGCUGGCCCAGUCACUCUCAACGUACAAUCUCGGUGGUACAAGAGUUAUCACCCUUCAAUAUCAUCUUGGGGCGCACAUGGCUACACUACAUGAAAGCCAUCCCCUCUACAUAUCAUCAAAUGGUGAGUUUCCUCACCAACGAAGGGCAAAUUGACUUAUAUGGCAGCCAGCUGGCCGCUCGCCAAUGCUAUCAGAUAGCACGAGAAGCAGGGGCCAACCAGGAGGAUGCAUCUCCCCCUGAACCCAGCCAUACACAUACCCAAUAGUAAUUAUUGGGUCCGACGGACAAAGAUUCCCCGACAGCAGAUCCCUUACAAACGAUCCAAAUUUCGGAGGAAAACACUCAUUUCACCAACAUCAGUUCCCUCAUGACGACCGAAGAAACUCAGAGCAUGCAAAAUAUUCUCAAAUGGAAUCAUGACAUCUUCGCAUGGGCACAUUCUGAUAUGAAGGGAAUUCAUCCCUCUAUUGCAUCUCACAGGCUUAACGUCAUUUCAACUGCCAAACCCGUCCGGCAGAAGAUUAGGCGCUUUCACCCGGAUAGACAAAAAGUCAUCCGAAAUGAGAUUGACAAAUUGCUGGAAGCCGGAUUCAUCAGAGAAGUAGCUUAUCCGGAUUGGUUAGCCAACGUAGUAGUGGUACCAAAAAAAAAAAGGAAAAUGGCGGGUUUGCGUCGAUUACACCAACCUCAAUAAUGCAUAUCCAAAAGACAGUUUCCCUUUACCACGAAUAGAUCAAAUUGUGGAUUCCACUGCCGGGCAAAGGAUGCUUUCUUUCUUGGAUGCCUUCUCCGGAUAUCACCAGAUUCCCAUGGCUCCGGCUGACGAGGAAAAAACAACAUUCAUAACGCCAUACGGCCUCUACUGCUACAAAGUCAUGCCAUUCGGACUCAAAAACGCUGGCGCCACCUAUCAGAGACUGAUGACAAAGAUCUUCAAACCUCUAAUAGGCCACACGGUAGAGGUAUAUAUUGAUGAUAUCGUGGUUAAAAGCAAAACCCGAGAGGAGCAUGUUCUUCAUUUACAAGAAGUUUUUCACCUCUUAAGGAAGUAUGACAUGAAGCUAAAUCCUUCCAAAUGCGCCUUUGGCGUAAGUGCUGACAAAUUUCUGGGUUUUAUGGUCAACUAAAGAGGGAUAGAGGUUAGCCCGGAUCAAGUCAAGGCAGUCAUGGAAACACCUCCUCCCAGGAGCAAGAAAGAAUUACAACGCCUCACAGGCAAACUCGUCGCACUAGGGUGUUUUAUAGCCCGCUUCACUGAUGAAUUGCGACCUUUCUUCUUGGCAAUUCGAAAGGCUGGAGCAAAUGGAUGGACGGACAGCUGUCAAAACGCUUUUGAAAAGAUCAAACAUUGUCUUACGCAGCCGCCCAUCUUGAGCAGUCCCGUUCCAAAAGAAAAAUUGUACAUAUAUCUGGCUGUAUCGGAGUAGACAAUCAGCGCUGUUCUAUUUCGCUGCCCCUCACCCAAGGAGCAGAAACCAAUCUACUACGUCAGCAGAGCAUUGACAGACGUAGAAACCCGAUAUUCAAAAAUGGAGCUCACAGCCUUAGCCCUUCGUAGCUCUGCCCAGAAGCUCCGCCCCUAUUUCCAAGCCCACCCGGUGGUCGUGCUGACCGAUCAGCCCCUUCGCAACAUUUUGCACAAGCCAAAUUUAACCGGCAGAAUGCUGUAGUGGGCUAUCGAAUUGAGCGAAUUUGGAAUCGAAUUCCAACCCAGGUUGUCCAUGAAAGGCCAAGUAAUGACUGAUUUCGUGCUAGAAUAUUCCCAAAGGCCUAACCAGCACCAGGAAUCAAAUGAAAAAGAAUGGUGGACUUUGCGAGUUGAUGGAGCUUCACGAUCAUCAAGGUCCGGAGUCGGGCUUCUACUACAAUCCCCAACCGGUGAGCACCUGGAGCAAGCCAUCCGGCUGGGAUUCCCUACCUCUAACAAUGAAGCAGAAUAUGAAGCCAUCUUAUCCGGAUUAGACCUCGCCUUGGCUCUAUCCGUCUCCAAACUCCGGGUCUAUAGCGAUUCGCAACUUGUAGUAAGACACAUUCAGGAGGAAUACGAGGCCAAGGAUGCGCGCAUGGCGCAAUAUCUAACUAAAGUAAAGGACACCUUACAGCAAUUCACCGAAUGGACAGUCGAAAAAAUAAGGCGAACUGAAAAUGGGCGCGCUGACGCCUUGGCCGGUAUAGCUGCCUCCCUCCCUAUCAAAGAAGCCAUUCUAUUGCCUAUACAUGUGCAAACCGACCCUUCUGUCGUAGGAAUCUCCAUUUGCAACACCAUUGAGGCAAACCAAACAAACGACCAAGAGUGGACGGACAAUAUUGCAGAAUAUCUCCGGACAGACACUCUACCUGGAGAUCCCAAACAGGCACACAAAAUCCGGGUGCAAGCUGCCCGUUUCACCUUAAUUGGGGGGCACUUGUACAAACGAUUCUUCACAGGACCUUACCUUCGGUGCCUAGGGCAUUCAGAGGCCCAAUAUGUGUUAGCUGAGUUACACGAGGGAGUAUGCCGGAAUCAUUCAGGAGGACGAUCUCUGGCACAUAGAGCCCAUUCGCAAGGAUAUUAUUGGCCAAAAAUGAAGAAGGAUGCGACAACCUAUGUCAAAAAAUGUGAUAAAUGUCAAAAGUAUGCUCCCAUUCCACAUAUACCGUCAGCAACAUUAAAAUCAAUCUCAACCCCAUAGCCCUUUGCGCAAUGGGGCAUGGACAUAGUAGGACCCCUCCCAGCUACACCUGCCCAAAAGAAAUUUCUGCUCGUCGCCACAGAUUACUUCAGUAAAUGGGUAGAAGCUGAAGCAUAUGCAAGCAUCAAAGACAAAGAUGUCACCAAGUUUGUAUGGAAAAACAUCGUCUGCCGUUUUGGAAUUCCACAAACUAUCAUAGCUGACAAUGGUCCUCAAUUUGACAACAUCGCAUUCAGAAAAUUCUGUUCGGAGCUGAAUAUCCGGAAUUCAUACUCCACACCGCGUUAUCCUCAAAGCAACGGGCAAGUAGAAGCCACAAACAAAACUCUGAUCACUGCCUUAAAGAAAAGACUCGAACAAGCCAAAGGAAAAUGGGUGGAGGAGCUACCCGGUGUCCUAUGGGCCUAUCGAACCACACCCGGACGACCAACAGGAAACACUCCCUUCGCCCUCGCAUACGGUAUGGACGUAGUAAUUCCUACCGAAAUUGGGUUACCCACUAUCCGGACUGAAGCAGCAAAAAAGGAUGAUGCAAAUGCAGAAUUAGGAAGAAACUUGGACUGGGCAGAUGAAGUAAGAGAAAGCGCAGCCAUCCGGAUGGCAGACUAUCAACAAAGAGCAUCCACCCAUUACAAUUGCAAAGUAAGGCCCAGGAACUUCAAAAAUGGUACGCUAGUCCUUAGAAAAGUUUUUGAAAACACUGCUAAAAUGGGCGCAGAGAAAUUCCAAGCUAACUGGGAAGGACCCUAUAUAGUGUCAAAGGCAAGUGAAAGUGGAGCCUAUCAUCUACAAAAGUUAGACGGAAUUCCAUUACUCAGACCAUGGAAUCUGUCGAAUUUAAAGCAGUAUUAUCAAUAAAAGCAAGAGACAAAAGACAAAUACAAAUGUAAAAAAUUUAUGUUUUAUUGAUGUUUGUGAAGUAUGUACAAGGAGGUCUCCAGACCACAGAAAGUGCAGAAAGAAGAUUACAACAAAAAUUGCAAAAAGAGAAAAGCUAUCAGGGAACGGGCUUGUCUAAAAGUUUCUUUUCUUCACCCGGACGGAUUGAAGGGACAUCCCGCUUGAUGCCGUUCUUCUUCAUACAGCAGCGAUAGCCGAAGAAGAACAUGUCAUCCACUUGCUUUUGGUAGUCCGCUUCAAGUGCCUCCCUGUCUGCAGCAAACUCUCCCUCUAGCUCCUCUUUUUGCGCUACCAGGCGCAGCUGCAGAUCCUCUUUCUGCUUCUUUUCAAUCGAAGCCUCCGUUCGGAGUUGCCUCACGUCCCCCCUUAGCCGGGCCAUCUCAUCUUCUGCCUCAUGCAGGCGGGCCUCCAUCGAUUCCUCCCGGCUCUUUGCCUCAGCCAAAUCCGUCCGGAGGGCCUCAUUCUCCCCCCGAGCGGUGGAUAAACUGGCUUCGGCCUCCGCCAGUCUCAAGCGCAGCUGAUCUUCACUAUUUUUUCGCUGAGACGCGAAGGCCUUCAUAUAAUCAGUGGUUUGCAGCAAGUCAGUGAAUAAAUCGUGUUGUUGAGCCAUGCCGCGAAGACCACUCACCAGCUGCAUACAAGCACACAAACAAGAAAAGCAAAGUUAUAAAUCAUACCAUAAAAACACAUCAGAGUGACAAAGAAUCAAGAAGCAAAAAACAGUAUACCGUUUCCACCAUCUCGAACAUCUUGGCUGAAGGCAUGACAGUGGUCAAGCCGAGUGGAAUCUGUUUCAGCUUCUCUUCCAACUCCGCGUAGCUAAAAGGGCUAGUGGAGGUGCAAGCCGCAUCAUUAACAGAAUUCCCCCCUGAUGAGGCAAUAGAAGGCGACUCCUCUUCCGGAUUCGGGGCCUCAACAUUUUUGGCCAGAUAGGUCUCUCCGGGAGCAUCCUCAUCCGGGACCACCACCGGGACGGCUAAAGUCUCAAUUGCCAUCUCCACCUCUCUCCCCUCCGGAUGAGCAUCGUGGGCGGAUGAGCAACUAACUUCAAUCUCUUGCAAUCGAUCUUGAAGCCGCCCGAUGAGUCCGGACUUUAGAUUGCGCGCCGAGCACGACCUCUUUGAAGGUGACCCUUUUACCAGAACAAGUGCGAGAUGGUUUGGAUUGUCAGAGGGCUGACUCUGGCUUUCUGCCCCCGUUUCCUCCAUUGGAGUCGCACAAAGGGCCUCAGCUGCAUCAGCAUCUGGAUGGGGGGAGCCGGGAUGGUUUAUGGACGCAGCUUCCUUAGCCAAAGUAGCCAAACGGGCAACCGCCGACAAGGAGGGCCCCGAAUGGUUUAGUUCCGCGACGUGUCCGGGGCCACUUGAAAUGGAGUGGGGGGCAGGGUUCGCUGGCUCCUCUAUUAUUACCUCCGCCGCAUGAGUAAUAAGCGGAGGAACAAAUUCCUUUGGGGGGGUGGGCUCCUUCACUCCCUUCCCAUUUUUGACCAGCUUCCUCUUUUUUGCUGGGGCUUUCCUUGGAGGGGAGGCUGCGCUGCGUUUCUGUCCAGGAGCCUUCCGUAGAGUUCCCUCGUUUUUUCUCUUCUCCCGAUCAUCAAGGAGUGCUCGGCGUUUUUCAGCAUCAGCUUCUUUCACCUCCUGAUAGAUAGGGAGAUCCUUCAGAAUGUAAUGCUCCCCAGGCACUACCUCAUUUGGCAUCUUCUUGGGGAGAAUGUUGACGACAUACUCCUGGGACUCCCGGACGACGGCCAUUAGGUUCCGCGCAGUGAGCAGCGUCCCAUAAUGCCUCUCAUUAGCGUCUAUCUCAAAUAAUUUAUUGAGGCAGGCAAAAGACGCCUUUUCCACCCAGUCAACUAUGUGGCCCUUCCUUUCCGGACCUGCAUUAUCAGCAACAAAAGAUAAGAAUGCCAUCCGGAAAGAUCAACAAAAAGACAACAAGGUAAAAGCCGGAUAAAACCAGCAAGAAAACUUACCUGGAAGCACCGUGGAGUAGUUUGGAGAAAAAGGCCUCGCCGGAUGCUCCAAUAGCCCCACCCACGCUCCCCGGACCAUCACAUGUCCCUUCGCCCCUCCCUUCGUUGAAUCCGACAGCUCCGUCACCAAUUGAAGGGAGGGUAGGUGAGCAGACAUGCUAAAGAUAUCAUUUUUUCCAUUCUUCAGGGAGUAGACAAAAAGAACCUCCAGCAGUGAGAGGUCGAGAUUGUACAGCAUGUUUAUAAUGCUGCAUCCCAUCAGCACCCGGACUAUGUUGGGAUGGAUGAAGGCGGGUGGAAUCUGGGAGAAAUGGAAGAAUUCCUUGAACAACGCCGGAAGAGGGAACCGGAGCCCCGUGUUGAAUUGAUCUUUUGAGAAAAUGAUGGCAUUUCCUUCAGCUUUCUCAGUAGGCACAAGCUCCUCCUCAUUAAGCAAUUCCACAGUCACACCAUUUGGGAUGCAGAACCGAUCCCUGAACUCCUUCGCAUUCAGUUUGUCUAUAGAUUUCUCACGAGCAUCGCUGGCCUGGACAGAUGAGACAGCUUUCUUCUUUGCAGACAUUUUUUUAAACCUGAGGCUGAACCGAAACCUACAUACAAGAAGUGCAACAGUCAAACACAGCAAUCCAAAAACUCACAAACCCUAACCAAAAACAGUCAAAAACACCCUAAAAAAAUCCCAGAAAACCAACAAAUACCAAACAUUCAACACACAGUAGCAAGCGACUUGCCCAAACAAGUCAGAAACGAAGCCAAUAAACAAACAAGCGCAACAAAGGGAAAAACAAACGCAAAAUGCAUGUACCGAAUGGAAAUCUGAAGAAGAAAGGUUGCUGUUGCAAACACGAAAAUCACCGGCAGAAAGGUUCUAGGGCUUUACUCAGAAAAGCAAAGGAGAGCACAGAAGGAAGAAGAAGCAAAACUCUCAGAAAAAAACGCAGUAGGAAAAAAUGCAACAGAAGACACAGUAUGAUAUUUAUAAGGGACAGCCCCUCGGAAAGCCAAAACGCACAGCUACGCUAUCAUUGAAACGACAUGCUGCCUAGGAAUACCCAGAGUCGGCGGCUCAUCAUAAAUGCCUUUUUUGGCUCCCGCACCCCUACUCGCCACGUGGCCCAACCAGACGAAAGACGACUUCAGUUUCAAAAAACCAAUUAUUUUUAACCCGCCCAUUUUUUGCUCGGGCAAAAUAGGCAAGUUAAAAAGGGGGCAUUGUAGGGACCCCUCCUCCUGAGAACACGUGCCACACACCUCAUAUUGACACGUAGCACGCAGACUAUCCGGAUGACCCCAUCUGGAUACACAUGACGCGCUCUCAUAUCCGGCCUGCCUCAAGGAAGGUCAAACGACACUUAUAAACAUAAAACAUCCGGACGGCUUCCACGAUACAUCCGGAUGACCAACGUAGUCCAUCCGGAUAUAAUGGUCCGGAUCAUUGACUGAAGUAAGCAAGUCUCACACGUUAUCACAAUAGCCUGUCAUGGCCCACGUUCCACCACCUACAGAGUGAAGGGACAAGAUGAAGUGACAACAAGUCACUUCCCACGAUCACCUACCACGAUUUCUGUCAGCCGCCUGUAGGGUGAUGGUAGCCCUGCCACCACCUAAUGUCAUCAUAACAACACAAAAUAUCUCCCUGCCAUUAAAGAGGGAAUCAAAGCUUCUGAUACUAUAUAUAUCAACCUUCACACAAAGAGGAAGGUAAGCUUGCAAUACCUAGUAAAAAGCCAACUGAUUAUCUCUCUCUAACCAUGGCUGACAAAACCAUCGGAGGGUGCGUCCGGACACCCUGUUCGGACGUCUUUUGCAGGUAAACCGACUGAAUCAAGAACCUGUAUUGGUUGAGAACUACGCAUCCAUCCAUUUGGCAACUACGUGGAUC